AAAACUUUCAACAACGGAUCUCUUGGUUCUGGCAUCGAUGAAGAACGCAGCGAAAUGCGAUAAGUAAUGUGAAUUGCAGAAUUCAGUGAAUCAUCGAAUUUUUGAACGCACAUUGCGCCCCUCGGUAUUCCGGGGGGCAUGCCUGUUCGAGCGUCAUU
rnacentral:rRNA from 1 species